rnacentral:rRNA from 1 species
UUCCGGUUGAUCCUGCCGCCGGGCACCGCUAUUGGAGUUCGCUUAAGCCAUGCGAGUCGAGAGGGGUAAGCCCUCGGCGCACUGCUCAGUAACACGCGGACAAUCUGCCCUCAAGACGGGGAUAUUCCCGGGAAACUGGGGCUAAUACCCGAUAGACUGAGAUGAUGGAAGGCUCCCAGGUCGAAAUCCUCCGGGGCUUGAGGAUGGGUCUGCGGCCUAUCAGGUUGUAGGGGGUGUCACGGACCCCCUAGCCGAAGACGGGUACGGGCUUUGGGAGAAGUCGCCCGGAGAUGGAUUCUGAGACACGAAUCCAGGUCCUACGGGACGCAGCAGGCGCGAAACCUCCACAAUGUGGGAAAUCACGAUGGGGGAACUCCAAGUGCCUACGCUUUAAGUGUAGGCUGUUCUCGAGCCUAAAAAGCUCGAGAAGUAAGGGCCGGGUAAGACGGGUGCCAGCCGCCGCGGUAAUACCCGCGGCCCGAGUGGUGCUCAUUAUUAUUGAGCCUAAAGCGUCCGUAGCUGGCCGGGCAAAUCUCCGGGUAAAUCGGGCAGCUCAACUGUCCGAAUUCCGGAGACACUGCUCGGCUUGGGAUCGGGAGAGGGUGAAGGUACUCCCUGGGUAGGGGUAAAAUCCUGUAAUCCGGGGGGGACCACCAGUGGCGAAGGCGUUCACCUAGAACGAAUCCGACAGUGAGGGACGAAGCCCUAGGGCGCAAACGGGAUUAGAUACCCCGGUAGUCUAGGGUGUAAACGCUGCAGACUUGGUGUUGGGGGUCCUGCGUGGGCUGCCAGUGCCGGAGCGAAGGUGUUAAGUCUGCCGCUUGGGGAGUACGGUCGCAAGACUGAAACUUAAAGGAAUUGGCGGGAGAGCACCGCAACGGGAGGAGCGUGCGGUUCAAUUGGAUUCAACGCCGGAA